GAUGAAGAACGUAGCGAAAUGCGAUAAGUAAUGCGAAUUGCAGAAUUCCAGUGAGUCAUCGAAUCUUUGAACGCACAUUGCGCCCCUUGGUAUUCCUUGGGGCAUGCCUGUUCGAGCGUCAUCUAACCCUCAAGCACUGCUUGGUGUUGGGCGCUGUCCCGCCGCGCGCGCGGACUCGCCUGGAAAUCAUUGGCGGCCUUUGCAUUGGCUUCGAGCGCAGCAGACCAGCGCCUCGUCCCUCUCGCGCUGGCGUCCAUCAAGAAACCCCAGACUUUUGACCUCGGAUCAGGUAGGGAUACCCGCUGAACUUAAGCAUAUCAAUAAGCGGAGGA
rnacentral:misc_RNA from 1 species